UAAGCGAAUAAGCGUACACGGUGGAUGCCUAGGCAAUCAGAGGCGAUGAAGGACGUGCUAAUCUGCGAUAAGCGUCGGUAAGGUGAUAUGAACCGUUAUACCCGACGAUUUCCGAAUGGGGAAACCCAAUAUCCAAUGGAUAUUAUCAUUAACUGAAUACAUAGGUUAAUGAAGCGAACCGGGAGAACUGAAACAUCUCAGUACCCCGAGGAAAAGAAAUCAACCGAGAUUCCCCUAGUAGCGGCGAGCGAACGGGGAACAGCCCAGAGUCUUAAUCAACAGUAGCAUCAGGAGAACGGUCUGGAAAGUCCGGCAGUAAAGGGUGAUAGCCCCGUAUCCGAAGAUGCUGUUAUUGUGAACUCGACGAGUAGGGCGGGACACGUGUUAUCCUGUCUGAAUAUGGGGGGACCAUCCUCCAAGGCUAAAUACUCCUGAUUGACCGAUAGUGAACCAGUACCGUGAGGGAAAGGCGAAAAGAACCCCGGCGAGGGGAGUGAAAAAGAACCUGAAACCGUGUACGUACAAGCAGUAGGAGCCCCACCACUAAGCUAGUGGUGAACUCACAGCGAUUCUUUUGCAUGAUAAAGAGCGGUAGACGACGCGAAGUGACGUCCAACCAAUCCAAUCAGGCAGAGGAGGCUUAGUGGUGGGGUGACUGCGUACCUUUUGUAUAAUGGGUCAGCGACUUAUAUUCUGUAGCAAGGUUAACCGAAUAGGGGAGCCGUAGGGAAACCGAGUCUUAACUGGGCGAAUGAGUUGCAGGGUAUAGACCCGAAACCCGGUGAUCUAUCCAUGGGCAGGUUGAAGGUUGGGUAACACUAACUGGAGGACCGAACCGACUAAUGUUGAAAAUUAGCGGAUGACUUGUGGAUGGGGGUGAAAGGCCAAUCAAACCGGGAGAUAGCUGGUUCUCCCCGAAAGCUAUUUAGGUAGCGCCUCGUGAACUCAUCUUCGGGGGUAGAGCACUGUUUCGACUAGGGGGUCAUCCCGACUUACCAACUCGAUGCAAACUGCGAAUACCGAAGAAUGUUAUCACGGGAGACACACGGCGGGUGCUAACGUCCGUCGUGAAGAGGGAAACAACCCAGACCGCCAGCUAAGGUCCCAAAGUCAUGGUUAAGUGGGAAACGAAGUGGGAAGGCUCAGACAGCCAGGAUGUUGGCUUAGAAGCAGCCAUCAUUUAAAGAAAGCGUAAUAGCUCACUGGUCGAGUCGGCCCGCGCGGAAGAUGUAACGGGGCUAAACCAUGCACCGAAGCUGCGGCAGCAACACUAAGUGUUGUUGGGUAGGGGAGCGUUCUGUAAGCCUGCGAAGGUGUACUGUGAGGUAUGCUGGAGGUAUCAGAAGUGCGAAUGCUGACAUAAGUAACGAUAAUGCGGGUGAAAAACCCGCACGCCGGAAGACCAAGGGUUCCUGUCCAACGUUAAUCGGGGCAGGGUGAGUCGACCCCUAAGGCGAGGCUGAAAAGCGUAGUCGAUGGGAAACGGGUUAAUAUUCCCGUACUGGUGGUAACUGCGAUGGGGGAACGGAGAAGGCUAGGUUGUCCGGGCGACGGUCGUCCCGGUUCAAGCAUGUAGGCAGAGUGAUUAGGCAAAUCCGGUCACUUAAUGCUGAGGUGUGAUGACGAGCCACUAAGGUGGUGAAGCAAUUGAUGCCCUGCUUCCAGGAAAAGCCUCUAAGCUUCAGGUUACCAACAAUCGUACCCCAAACCGACACAGGUGGUCAGGUAGAGAAUACUCAGGCGCUUGAGAGAACUCGGGUGAAGGAACUAGGCAAAAUGGUGCCGUAACUUCGGGAGAAGGCACGCUGGCGGUAAGUGAAGUCCCUUGCGGACGGAGCCGAAGCCAGUCGAAGAUACCAGCUGGCUGCAACUGUUUAUUAAAAACACAGCACUGUGCAAACACGAAAGUGGACGUAUACGGUGUGACGCCUGCCCGGUGCUGGAAGGUUAAUUGAUGGGGUUAUCCUUAGGGAGAAGCUCUUGAUCGAAGCCCCAGUAAACGGCGGCCGUAACUAUAACGGUCCUAAGGUAGCGAAAUUCCUUGUCGGGUAAGUUCCGACCUGCACGAAUGGCGUAAUGAUGGCCAGGCUGUCUCCACCCGAGACUCAGUGAAAUUGAACUCGCUGUGAAGAUGCAGUGUACCCGCGGCAAGACGGAAAGACCCCGUGAACCUUUACUAUAGCUUGACACUGAACAUUGAGCCUUGAUGUGUAGGAUAGGUGGGAGACUAUGAAGUGUGGACGCCAGUCUGCAUGGAGUCAACCUUGAAAUACCACCCUUUAACGUUUGAUGUUCUAACCUAGGCCCGUGAUCCGGGUCGGGGACCGUGUCUGGUGGGUAGUUUGACUGGGGCGGUCUCCUCCUAAAGAGUAACGGAGGAGCACGAAGGUUGGCUAAGCAUGGUCGGACAUCAUGCGGUUAGUGCAAAGGCAUAAGCCAGCUUGACUGUGAGAGUGACGGCUCGAGCAGGUACGAAAGUAGGUCUUAGUGAUCCGGUGGUUCUGAAUGGAAGGGCCAUCGCUCAACGGAUAAAAGGUACUCCGGGGAUAACAGGCUGAUACCGCCCAAGAGUUCAUAUCGACGGCGGUGUUUGGCACCUCGAUGUCGGCUCAUCACAUCCUGGGGCUGAAGUAGGUCCCAAGGGUAUGGCUGUUCGCCAUUUAAAGUGGUACGCGAGCUGGGUUUAGAACGUCGUGAGACAGUUCGGUCCCUAUCUGCCGUGGGCGUUGGAAGAUUGAGAGGGGUUGCUCCUAGUACGAGAGGACCGGAGUGAACGCACCACUGGUGUUCGGGUUGUCAUGCCAAUGGCAUUGCCCGGUAGCUAAGUGCGGAAGAGAUAACCGCUGAAAGCAUCUAAGCGGGAAACUUGCCUCGAGAUGAGUCUUCCCUGUCACCUUGAGUGACCUAAAGGAACGUUUAAGACUAAGACGUUGAUAGGCUGGGUGUGUAAGCGUAGCGAUACGUUGAGCUAACCAGUACUAAUGAACCGUGAGGCUUAACCU
rnacentral:rRNA from 1 species